rnacentral:rRNA from 1 species
CGAAGGGUGCAAGCGUUACUCGGAAUUACUGGGCGUAAAGCGUGCGUAGGUGGUUUGUUAAGUCUGAUGUGAAAGCUCUGGGCUCAACCUGGGAACUGCAUUGGAAACUGGCUGACUAGAGUGCGGUAGAGGGGUGUGGAAUUCCCGGUGUAGCAGUGAAAUGCGUAGAUAUCGGGAGGAACAUCUGUGGCGAAGGCGACACCCUGGACCAGCACUGACACUGAGGCACGAAAGCGUGGGAGCAAACAGGAUU